AAGAAAUAUAACCAACGAUUCAUGACGAUUGCUUGUUUUCCGAUUUCCGUAUUGGCACUUGUGUGUACGAAGAAAUCGUUAAGACAGGGUUUUUAUUAUUAAAAUAAUCGUCACUUCUGAAUGGCAGCUCUACUGAAAUUGUCGUGACAGUUGGCAGCUUUGGUCCUCGAUCUAAUUCAAUGAUAUUGCACCGAAAGAUUUUAACUUAAAGUGAAAGUUUGAUAAGGGUCGCAAGAGUGCACUUAGUGGACGAUCGGAAAACAACUCAGUUAACAAACAACAGCAACAACCUUGUGUUAAACAUGACGGCUGGAUGUGCUCAAAAGCAGAACCACUUUCAGUUCAUUUACCCAAAGUGCUGAUCAAACCAAAGACACGUAGUAUAGGCGGCAAAAAGUUCAAGGCACCGCUAUCAUUUGACGAUCUACCAUCGAUAAGAUUGAAGGUGGAGAGGGCGAAAGUUUCAUACUACAAGCAGGUUCAAAUGAAAAAAAUACACGACACAAGACUGCAUUGGGAGUCUUUGCGAACAGAACUUAUAACCUCAACUGUAUGUAAGAAAAGGUUUCACAAAGUCUUCUUAGCAUAUUCCCCAUUGUAAUGAUAGUUUUGUAACCCAAAAUACAACAGUAAUUUGACAUGGUGUAAACUUGGUGUAAUCUCAUUUCCUACUUUUUCCAUGGAGGAAAAUGAUAAGGAAAAUGGAAAGAAGUGUUUCAAAGAUGUCAAAAUAAACAUAAAAAAGCGAUUAUAUUCAAUUUAAAUGUUCAUACUUAUCUUCUAUGUUCCUUUGACUAUACAGAGAUGAAUGUUCUAGUAAAGCUGCAAUUAGUUGUCUGUUCAUUGAGAUUUUAUACAGCAAAAAUGUUA